UGUGUGCAGAAAAAAAUAGUAUAUACAUACAUCUGGGCUAUUCUGUUUCGCGUAACAGAAUAUUAUUCUGUUAUCAUUAUUGAACUGAUGAAUUCGGAUGAUUGUACUGAUGUUGUCAUUUGGUUGAACUGAUCGUUUUUAUUAGAAUAGUAAAUAAGAGCCCCUCCUGCUCGCUCCCCGUUCCGCCGGCCACUCCAGCCGUCGACUGACUGCUCGCGGCCGAUCCCUCCACCCGCCCACCUCCCUCCCAGCAACCCAGGCUCCACCCUAGGCACGGCGAUGGGCGCCGGGGCGGCCGCCGGCGGUGACAUCAUCCACCAGAACAACAACGCGCCCAAGAUCCCCGGCUGCUCCAACGAUUUCAUUCUCGUACGCCCUCCUCUUCCUCCUCCCGGCCUCUCCCGAGUGAGUGCAGGCCCGAGCCCAUGGGUAUACAACCUCUGCGCCCCACACAGGGCCCCUGGUUUUGAGGGGCUGAUCCAAUCGAGAAUCGCUCGCUCCAGCGACCAGCGCACUGUUGGGCGCCGGCGCAUAGGCAACCGCCGCCGCCGCGCCACAUCGCCGGCACGCAAGCAUACUCCACGGCCGCACGCGCCGCUCCAUCCUGCUGUACAAGGAGUCCUACGAGGCCCUGCUGCGCGACCCCGCAGAGAACGCCAGGGAGCUAGUGCAGUUCGUCCUUCUUUGGGCUGUUCAUCUUGGCGCACCUUAUGCCCUGGAAGCCAACACAACAGGCUAUUUGUAUCCCCCUCCUCCUGAUCUGCUCAUCCUUGACACUGUUUCAGCUUUGUUGAUAACGCGCAUAGCGAGUUGGCCUUGUUGCUUCAAGGAUGAAUCUGUCGAUAUGAUAUUCAAUGGGAACAAAAAGUAUGAAGCUGUUAGGCGAUGCAGCUUUUUGUUGCCGGGAAUUCAAUUAGCCGAUCGCAAUGCUCUGGCUUGGACUCUGGAGGAACACCGGCAACUCUGUUUUGGAGUUAGGUAUUUUUUUGUACUGUGAGCUGAGGAGAUUCCAUCGCUAAUUAAUUAUCCUGCAGUAUGUUGUUGCUGGUGGAGCUACUAUAGUAGUAUUUUAUCAAGGGCUAAUGGCAGUUACUCGCUACUGCAUUUGACAUGAGACUGAGCACCAUAUGCGCUAUAAAAUGACAGCUCGUAUUUUGCGAAACUUUCGCGCUAGGUGGGCAACGAAAUUUCACAAAUAAUUGUCAAAUGCAAAACUUUCAAAAAGGCUAAAGAUUUUAACCCAACAUCUACGCAAAGCUAUCGAAUAUGUGAAACUUUUUUAUGUUGAACGUUUUCUCAAAUUCGCAACUGGUGAAGAGUAAUUUGAAAUACGGUGCGACCCUUCGUCAGAAAAAAUAAAUUACUCGUACUGAUCUCUGUGUGGUGUUUGUACUGAGGAGGUAUUUUUCACAGAUUAAUUUUGAAUAUAUCCGGAAAAAAAAAUACUUGAAAUGAUGGUCGUAUGAAUUUGUACGAAUUUGUACUGAGCGUGUUUUCGCAGACUAGACUUUACUCUCUUUUCUUGGUAUGGCUUUUCUUCGUAAUUUUUC